rnacentral:rRNA from 1 species
AACGUAGGUGGCAAGCGUUAUCCGGAUUUACUGGGCGUAAAGGGUGUGCAGGCGGGGGAGCAAGGGGGGUAUGAAAUCUCCAGGCUUAACCUGGAGGGGUUAUGCCAGACUGCUGCUCUAGAGGACGAGAGAGGGGGGUGGAAUUCCGGGUGUAGUGGUGAAAUGCGUAGAGAUCCGGAGGAACCCCAGAGGCGAAGGCGGCCCCCUGGCUCGUACCUGACGCUCAGCCACGAAAGCAUGGGGAGCGAACGGG